CGGGUGAGUAACACGUGAGUAACCUGCCCUUGACUCUGGGAUAAGCGUUGGAAACGACGUCUAAUACCGGAUACGACCAGCCUCGGCAUCGGGUGUUGGUGGAAAGAAUUUUGGUCAAGGAUGGACUCGCGGCCUAUCAGGUAGUUGGUGAGGUAAUGGCUCACCAAGCCUACGACGGGUAGCCGGCCUGAGAGGGUGACCGGCCACACUGGGACUGAGACACGGCCCAGACUCCUACGGGAGGCAGCAGUGGGGAAUAUUGCACAAUGGGCGAAAGCCUGAUGCAGCAACGCCGCGUGAGGGACGACGGCCUUCGGGUUGUAAACCUCUUUUAGCAGGGAAGAAGCGAAAGUGACGGUACCUGCAGAAAAAGCACCGGCUAACUACGUGCCAGCAGCCGCGGUAAUACGUAGGGUGCAAGCGUUGUCCGGAAUUAUUGGGCGUAAAGAGCUCGUAGGCGGUUUGUCGCGUCUGCUGUGAAAACCCGAGGCUCAACCUCGGGCCUGCAGUGGGUACGGGCAGACUAGAGUGCGGUAGGGGAGAUUGGAAUUCCUGGUGUAGCGGUGGAAUGCGCAGAUAUCAGGAGGAACACCGAUGGCGAAGGCAGAUCUCUGGGCCGUUACUGACGCUGAGGAGCGAAAGGGUGGGGAGCAAACAGGCUUAGAUACCCUGGUAGUCCACCCCGUAAACG
rnacentral:rRNA from 1 species